AAAAUAUUGAAUACUUUGCCUAUGCCUAAGUAUGGUUUAGUGGGCAAUGGUGGGUUGAUUCAUAAAACAACUGGCUGCAGAUUGUAGCAUACCACAAGCUGACUGUGAGCACCCCAGUGUAUCCUCAACUGUGCGUCUUUGCUCAGCAGUCAUCAGGAAAUUAUUCAGAGCACUCUUGGAUCUUUUUUUCCUCUCAAGCUUCUCUAAAGUACAGCUGCUGCCAGAGCACCACAUUUUCACACUUAUGAGUCCAUACCCCUUCAAGGACAGUGGGAACACUGCAGACGAGUAAUUUGUAUGCUCAGGUAACUUGUAUAACUUGGAGCUGCAUCCUGAGAAUACACAGAGUGGCCUCUGGGAGAUGAUGCACUGGAGUUUUACUGGAUGCAAGAAAUCAGAAUGGCUUAAAGUCAAAGAGGCUCUUGCAAAAAAAUGGCACUGGAGCAAACACCCCUUGCAUUACCCGUCUGUGUGUAUAACCUAAACUGUUGCUGAAUUGCUGUAGUUUCUCACAGAAUAAUAACAAGCUAUGUGUCCUUUCUUUCAUUUUCCCCUCUGUGCAUCUUUCACUUCUUUUUCCUCACUUGCAACCACAGUUCAUUUUUCUCUUCUUAUGGUUGUCACCUUAUGCAGGAGAAGAAAACAUGUCAUUUCCAGGAUAAUUCUAACCAUGGCAUUUUGGUCAGUGUGUAAAAUGGUCCAGAUCCCUUGGGUGUCUUCAAGAUGCUGCUGUGAAAAAGAGCUUAUUUGGGCUUUGCUUGCAGUCUUUGUGGUUCCACCUGGGAAGCAGGUACCUGAGGUUUGCUCCUUGUGUAAUUUGCACAGAGCAGCUGAGCUAACAGCCCAUGCAGAACGUUGGAGGAUCAGAUAACACCUUUCUCAUUCCAUACUCAUCAGGGAAAGGUAAUGUUUCCCUCUGGAUUUCAGAACUGUUUUUAUUACAGUGUCUGCAGAUUGGGCUGAUUGCAAAACCAAGUGAAAUGAUGGAAAACAAAGACACCUCUCUGGCCUUUAGAAACAACAAAGAAGCUGCCACCUCAAAACCAUCAGGGAUGUGUACCUUUUUCUCCUGCUUUGAGCCAAAGGGCAGUUACUCUCCUAUUAGCUUUUCUGUGAGCUGACUUUCUGUUUAUUGAUUUUAUGACCUUUCAGGCACCGUCUGUCAGUCUUCUGCACUGACAGCUUUACGAGGAUCAUUUGUAUGGUCAGAGCUCAGAAAAUCUAUUUUUGGUUCUUUCAGAGUUGGGCAGAUUCAUAAAAUCCUCUGGGCCUGGAUGCUGAUAUCAUUUCUCACCUCCAGUAGCACCGUGCUUUGCAGGCCAAAUCCGUGCAGCUGCUCUGUGAGCCUGAAGAAUUCAGACCACAGAAUUAGCCUUUGGGGUCCACUUUUGCUCUCAGUGAAGUUCAGGAGGAAAGUCCUCCAAGGUCACAGUAACUACUUGAGUGCAAACUUUGGUUCAUGCACUCCUCUACGGAAAUCUGACUACAUGCUAAUGAUGUUGAAUUCUGCAUCCAAAAAUAGCUUCCUUUGUGCGAAUGAGAGGUUUGCUUUGUUCGUGUUUGUUCCUCUGUCCCUGACUGAUUGUUUCUGUCUGUCAGUAGCAACAAAGCCUCAUUGUUCUGGUGCUCUGACUGAGACCAUUAAAUGGAUCUUAUUUGCAGAAACUACUGAGCCUCCAAGCCCUUGAGAUGCCUGCCCUUUGGGGCUUCACCUUGGAUGGUCAAAAUAGUGGGAGCCGCACCCCCUCCCUGCAGCAGUAUUGGGCUGGGAUGCAGCUUUCUGCAACUUGGUCAUUUGAGCCCACCUAGUUUGUGAUUGUCAGGGAAGCAGAGAUAGUAGAUUGCUCUUCAGAUUUUCAUCUUAGCUUUUUGCUGAAAAUAAUGCCACGUCUUUGCCAAGUGAUCUCUCACUCUCCUUUGUUUUUAUCCUGCUGGCCAUUUAUCCUCCAUUCACCGGCCUCACAAACAACCUCAUUUUUCAUCCCUACUUCUCCAUUUGUGGACACUUCAGGCUACUGCCUGUUGUUCUUCCCCAGCAACAAGCUCAUUCGCAUUCCAUAUUCAAAACCCACAACAUGAUCCAUUGAACAGAAAAGUGCUUUUGCUUUGCACUGUUUGUUUGAAACAGUCCUGGAGAUGACAUUAUAAAUGAGCUUCUAUAUCCCAAUUGCUUUGUCCUGCUUAGCAAAUUCAGUAGAAAAUGGCAAGAAGCUUUCAGUUUGAGGGCAAUCAGCUGCUUCUCUUCCUGCUGAUGUGAUGUCUUUGCUCCCCUUCUGUUUCAUGGGAGGCACCAGUUUCAGUUUUUAGGUUCAUGGGGGAGGUUUUGAAAAGGGCAGUUCAUCACAGUUUCCGAAAGAGAACAGAAUAGAGGUGGUCUUCAGGAAUGAAAAAAGGGGGCUGAAUUGGUUCAGCCACACUCACAGAUAAUCCAAAAGCAUGAUUUUCUCUAUUCUGAUGGUCAAAGUGAGUCUGACUUUUCAAAUGUAUUGUAUUGGUUUUGCUUGCUUCAGCAAUAUUGGAAGUGCUGAAGCAAAUAUCACAAGGAACAUCCUUGCCCAGGUGUCUCCAGCCAAGCUGGACACAGGAAACAAACUGUGAGAAUCCUGCUACAUUAGUUUUGCUGAUUUCAGAGGUUCUAGCCUGUGUGUCAUUCAGAUCACUGAUGUUAACAAGGAAAUUAACUCGUUAUCUAAAUUAUUUGUUUAUCCUAAAACCAGAUAGGUGACUGCUUUUGACUCACACCAAGUGGGAAUAACCUACGGUCAUCCAAAUAUCAAUUCCUCACCCUUAGAUUAAUGUGAUGAUAUUGCCUGGAUGUGCUAUCUGUUUUAACAGAUUUUCUCAGUUUUCUUUUAGCUUCAGUCAUAUUCUACAUUCAUCAAGGUCUCAGUCAAGCCCACUGGCUACUGAUGUCAUGUUCCCAUUUACAGAGCAGGGAAAUAAUACCAUGUGGGUUAAAACGUCAUUUUGAGACAUAAUGGGUGUCAAUAUUUAUCAUAAUAGAGGGUAUCAUAUGCUUUAGCACUUACAGUGGUUACUAUAGUAAUUCAAAAUACCCUAGAUCAUAUCAUAAAAGUGGCUUUUCUAAAAGUUCAGAAAAAAAGGAUUUUUAAUAUGAUCUUGAGAAGAAAGCUGUUCUCAGGAGUGAUAUCAUAUCCUUCCUAGCACUCAGGGGAGUUCAUUAGCACAAGUUUGUUGCCUGUACGUUUAUGGGGGCCACUCUUCUCUUUCCCCAAUACUGCUCAUCUAGCAAGGGGCUCACCUGCAUGGGGGAAAGCUGCUCAUGCAGAGUCACUACCGUUGUUUCUUAUGGUGUGGCAGACAGAUUAUGAAGAAGCAAAAGAUGUGCAUGGUUAACACGGACAAGAAUUUUCUGGAAUAGUGAUUUAAGAUAGAUUUCUGAAGAUAUUAAGAACUGUUUAAUUUGAAAUGUGCAAUAUACUGGCUUCAACAGAGUGGAGUUCUAGUCUCCUAAAAUCAACUGGAGUACAGAAAGCUGAAUCUCAAAGCAGACAAAUACAGAGAGACUACAUGAAGGAAUCAGAAGGGUAUAUUUUUUUUUACAGCAGUAGUGAAAUUUAGAUAAUACUCGUGGCUGAAGUACUGGUUAGCGAAUGGUGAAAUAGUGUUUUGUAGCUGAGAAUUUUCUCUAUUAAAUAAUGUUCUUGUGCUUUUUGUAUCUGUGACAGUUUUCAUGGAAAAAAGUAGGAGGCACUAUUUUCGGAGUGACCUACACACUACCAUACGCAUGGUUCUCUGCCUUAGAGUGCUGUCUCUGAAGAAGGGUGCUAUCCCAGCAACUGUCUUUUCAGCAAGGAAAUCAGAUGGGUGUUCCAAAAAGGGAACAAUUUUCCAGCACUGUUCAAUGGAAGACCAAAAGGAAGCCCAUGUUAAACACUGAUUUGCAAACCAGCCAAUUCAAAACCUCUCAGUACUUCUAAUAUAGACAGUCGCAAGCUGAACUGCAUGGCGUCUUGGCUUGUCAACAGGAAAACAGAAGUCCUUCAUUUCACGGAGCUGCACGCCUACUGCAUUACCUAACACCCAAUACAUCACGUACCAUCUAGUUUAUCGUCUGAUUUAAAUUUGAGAUACCACACUCAGGGCAGCACUGAAAUGAUAAAAGUAAAAAGCCAUGAACAAAAAGAAGAAUGUGAUUUUCCACGCCAGUGAGCAGUACAAGUGUGCAGUAUCAGCGUACAGCAAGUGCAGUUUAGGUUGUUACCGAGACAGAAAAGAAUAGCAACAAAUAUGAGCAAAAUUUUUUGGAGUGCUGCUGGCACGCGUGCGGCAGGUGAGGCCGGCGCACGGUGAUGAGCAUCAAUGGACGGCGACAUCACUGUGGGACGGGUGGUGAUGUCAGCCA